CAAUUAUUUUGACCUAAGUCCAUUAGCCAGGCUGCCCCAGUAUUAAGGAACAUUUUUUUUCCAGUAAUUUUAAGCCAAAUACAAUAAUUUCUGGGGCUAGGUGAAGAUACAGGGAAAAGAAAAAGGGGUUAUAAGAAAGCAAACUUGCAGAAAGAAACAUAAAAAAAUUCAGUACUUCCUGAAAUACACCUGAAAGCAUGACACCCAUUAUUUAUAUUGGCAGUGCUUUCCUUACAAUCGUCACCUUUUUCGGCACUCACCUCUAACCCUUCCAUUUCUGAAACAUUCCUAGGUAGACUUGAAAGAAGCCAUUAGAAGCCUAUCUGCCCAGAAGCCCUGAAGAAACUAUAGCUGCCAAGUGUCCUUACUGUUUACAUAAGAGCAAUCCGAGGUAUCAACCAGCAGGAUGGCAGAAAUUGUUCUGUCGGGAAAAGGAAAGCAGAAUUUAUCCUAACUGAAUAUUUCUAUGAAACAGGUUAUAAGGAAUUCUGGUUCUGCAGUCAAGUACACAUCCCCCACGUGUAUGCGUAUUUCUCCCUACAAACAUGAAUAUUCAGAAAUACAAUUCCACUACAUGGGAACAACCUAAGCAAAUUACUGAAACAUUAGGAAGACCAGAAAAAUGCUUUAAUGUAAUCCAAGUGCUCACACAGCCAUGAACAGUUUGCAUCAAAUAGUCGAGGGAAAAAGAUUAAACUGCAUUUCAUUUACUUGUUAUCAUCUGUGACUGAGUUGUUUGAUCUGUGUUAGUUACCAUGUUAAAGGCCAAAAGUUGUUAUGGAACUAUUCUUUAAUGUAACUCUUGCUAACAUCUGAAGUGUUUUCUAAAUGAUUUUCUUUUUGUUUUUUAAUUCGUUGUAAUCUGAGGCUGAGAACAGAGAAUGUGCAUUGUUUUACAGAAGUGUUCUCCAGGAUUAUUGAGAUAGUCUCUCUACUCCUUGAGCACCUGGAAGUUAUAUUUUUAUUAUUUUCAGUGGGAUUCUUUUUUCCUCACCACUUCCCAAUACUGCCAGUAUUCUUGCUGCUGACAAACAUUUCAUUUUCUAAUCCAUCAUGAUCUGGGAAGCCAACUAUUUGUAUAAAGUGUGCCUAAAUUAAGAAUAUGAGUUCUAUUCUGAGUGAAGAUACAAGGGACUCAUAAUAGUAAAAAGUAUUAGACUAAAAUGCAAAGCUUUUUGUGGUACCUAAAUUUUUGCUUAAAUCAAAAUCUACAUUUGCAUCUAUUGAAAUGUAUACCUACAUUUAAUUUUAGCUGCUUUUUGUUUGUUUUCUCAUCUUUCUAGGUUCCUGGGUGUGUCCAGAACAUUAUAUUGAUGAAAUAUGUACGCAUGAUACAUUACUGCAAUAUUUGCCUACAAGAUAGCACCCUCUACAACAAAAGAUUGACAUUUAAGAGUUAUAUGGAGGGUGUUCUGAUUAGAGGAGGCCUAGGGGCAAGUUUCUUCGGUGAUGUCACAUCUGCUUUUAUCCCACGGCAACUGCCUCUGACAUACCGCCCAUGCUUGACCCAAGCAAGAUCAAGGUCGUGUAUCUGAGGUGCACUGGUGUGGAAACUGGUGCUACAGAUCCCUGGACCCCAAAUUUGGGCCCCUGGGUCUGUUUCCAAAAGAGGCUGGUGAUGACAUUGUCAAGGCCACUGGUGACUAAAGGGUCACGCUUAUAAUGAAACCAACCAUUCAGAACAGACAGGCCCAGACUGAAGUGGCACCUUCCACUGCUGCCUUGCUCAUCCAAACCCUAAAGGAACCACUCUGAGAUGGAAAGAACAAUAGGAAGCACAGAGAUCCUAACAGCACUUUUGAUGAGAUUGUCAACACUGCCUGGCAGAUGCAGCACCAACCUUUGGCCAGGGAACUCUCUGGAACCAUUCAAGAGAUCCUGGGGACUUCCCAGUUUGUGGGCUGCCAAGUUGAUGGCUGCCACCCCUGUGACACCAUCGAUGACAUCAGCAGUGGUGCAGUAGAAUGUCCAGCUAGUUAAGAACUACAAAGGAAAACAUUUUGAUAAAGGAUAAUUUUACAAC